UUAUGGUAUGAAAGGAAAGAAGGCCAGCAUUCCAUUUGAUUAGGGUGGAAAAGGUCCUAGUGACCUUUACGACACAUAUAUAUUCAAGGCCUUGCUACCUGCUCCGUAGCAUCUAACAAUAUCA